rnacentral:rRNA from 1 species
AAUAGAUACCCAGGUAGUCCACGCCGUAAACGAUGAGUGCUAAGUGUUGGAGGGUUUCCGCCUUUCAGUGCUGCAGCUAACGCAUUAAGCACUCCGCCUGGGGAGUACGGUCGCAAGACUGAAACUCAAAGGAAUUGACGGGGGCCCGCACAAGCGGUGGAGCAUGUGGUUUAAUUCGAAGCAACGCGAAGAACCUUACCAGGUCUUGACAUCUCCUGACCGCCCUGGAGACAGGGUCUUCCCUUCGGGGACAGGAUGACAGGUGGUGCAUGGUUGUCGUCAGCUCGUGUCGUGAGAUGUUGGGUUAAGUCCCGCAACGAGCGCAACCCUUGGUUCUAGUUGCCAGCAUUCAGUUGGGCACUCUAGAGCGACUGCCGGCGACAAGUCGGAGGAAGGUGGGGAUGACGUCAAAUCAUCAUGCCCCUUAUGACCUGGGCUACACACGUGCUACAAUGGAUGGUACAAAGGGCAGCGAAGCGGCGACGCAUAAGCGAAUCCCAGAAAACCAUUCUCAGUUCGGAUUG